AGCUUUGGGACUGCGGA
rnacentral:rRNA from 1 species